rnacentral:lncRNA from 1 species
GUAGCGCUCAGGGGUAGUGCACCCCUGAGUCAACCAUCAGUACCAAAAUAAUAAUAGUAAUAAGAUAAAAUUAAUUGAUGGUGCAGGGAAAGACCUUGAGGGCUCUUUGGUCCUGGUAGAGCAAACUUGUCUAUCAGGGUUGCCUCCUUCUACAGAUGGAAACAGAUCCUGCCUCCCUUCAUCUGACCCUCAGGGCCACCAGGAGAUCUGACUGCCCUCUUGGCACAGGAGAUGGGUGGGAGUGCCAACUAGCAGGUUAUGACUUGACCGUCACACCACUGAGGUUCGAUGGCUACUGUAAAACGAUCCUAAUAAUAGAUUCGGGGAAAUAAUUUGCCCAUAAUCUACUUGAUCUCACCCAGCUCCUUGCAUAAUUUUAGCAGGGGAGUGUACUGAAACAGUGUGUUGUUUCCCCCUUCAAAAACAGGGGAAUUAUUUGCUGGGAACCCCAAAAUGGACAGGCCCAAAACAGAAAAGACCAAAAAAAAAUAAGAGCUAAGAAUCCCGACAUCAGCGAGGGGGAAGCCCAGAACGACAGUGCCCGGGGUCAUGGUAUCACCUGACCCCCUCCACACAUGACCAAGUCCCUUCCCAGGCCAAGCACACAGAAUAAAGAGAGCACACAAGCCAGGGAAAACUACAAAACCAGAGAAGCAUUAGGUCCCUCCUUUUCUUGAUUGUAUGUGCUCAUUUUUCUACCACAGUCAUGGGUUACCUUUGAACUAAAGUAAUUAAUUAAAGGGGGUGGGGUGAUGUGAAAGAAAUUGCUGAGUCUGACUCUGAACCAGGCAGAGUUAGUGCUUUACAUACGUCACCCCACGUCCCUGUCCCAACAGGCCUGGAAGAGAAACAGUGUGGCUCCUGUCCACAGCUGGGAGACUGAGGCUCCCUGAGAAGUCAAGCCUUCACUAUUAGGAGUGGGGUACAAAUAGACGGCAGUGUCACCAAGCCAGCACCUCAACUCUGGGGAAAGCAGAACAUUUUCCUCCUCCUAAAACCUU